ensembl:snRNA U1 U1 spliceosomal RNA
ACUUAUACCUUGCAGGGGAAAUACCAUGGUCAUAAAAGUGGUUUUUCCAGAGGAAGGCUCAUCCAUUGCACUUUGGGUGUGCCGAUUCCUAUGAUUUCACCAAAUGUGGGGAACUCAACUGCAUAAUUUGUGUUAAUGGGGAAUUGCAUUUGUGAUUUCCCUG